rnacentral:lncRNA from 1 species
AGGAGCAGGGCUAGAGGCAGAGAAACCCAUGGAGGUAGGGCGACACUCGGGAGGGUGAGAAUGGCAUCGUCCCGCUUAAGGUCUCAGAGGUGGGGUCAUUAGGAACUAGAAGCUCUUGGGGUCGAGGGAGAGGCCUGGGCUAUACCUGGUUCUUUUUCACACUCUGGAGGGUGGACUGGAGAUACCAGCAGCAUGCUUUCAGAGCUCUAAGGGCUUAGGGCCUGCUCAUGGGCUCCUGGGCUCACCAGGACAUGGAAGUUGAUCCUUUGACAGUGUUCCUGGCCAGAGGAGAGCAGGACGGCUCUGUUGGUGAACUGGUCUCCGCCCUCGUCCAGAUGUGCCCGCGGCAUAUACCGCCUCUCAUCCAUGGUUGCAUUGUACCUGAUGCCUGGAAGUGGGGAGAAGGCAAGACCAAGCUGGGCUUCCUCCACAUCCUAGACUGUCGACCUGCUUAGCCUCUGGGCUAGCCCCAUCCCUCACAGGCAGCUGGGAACCAGAAGCUUCCACGAUGGGAGCAAGAACUGUGGUAAGGAAGAAGGGGCUGAAGAGGAGGAGAUGUGUGAGAGGCAGGGAGGGAGGACAGAAGAGGGACACAAGCCUUGGGAGAAG